GAUAGAGGAUAGAAAAAUGGGAAGGGCUUAGGCUUUAAAUAGAAGUAGAAAGUGCGGGAAGUCAUUCCUACCAAGUUGAAGCAUUGGGAAGUCAGCGUUCCCUCCCACCCACCUGGAAUAUUUAGGGGGGUUAACAGUCAUCGCAGCUAUCAGCAUAGUGGGGCUGCCCUAAUGGGUAGCCAAAAAGGGGGCAGUGCUGUCAAGAAACAACUUCUCAUCAGAUGAACAGAACGGAAUUCGAGGAAUCCCAGUUUCCAGGGUGUAUUGUGGUUUGAAGAAAUAUAUAAUUUUUGGAAAGAAGGUUUCCCAGUAUUUUCUGAGCUUUAGAAGAUCAACUGUAAGAGAAGAAAAAUGAAUACUUCAAAUGCACUUAAAGACUGAAGGAAUCCAAGGAAUUUCAAGAGACUGGAAAGCAUAAUGUUGCAUCACUCCCCCACUGUGAAUCAAGUAGCCUUAAAGUUUUCAAUAGCAGCAGGAAGAAAACCGGAAUAUGGAAAUACACACUAUAUAAUGUAAUGACAAAACAAAACAGUAAGAAACACUGAGGGAAUUUUAGUCAGUGUGAAAAAUAAGAUGCGUAUUGUAACUCUUUUCCGACCAUCAUAAAACUGUACCGAAACUUUCAUUCCUAGACAUUUUGUUUUUAGAAAAAAGAGAAAGGAUAAUUGGCUAUAAAAUGUGCA